AUUGCUUCUCGGCCUUUUGGCUGAGAUCAAAGUGAAGUAUCUGUUCUUAGCUUAAUAGCUGAUACAGUCCCUACUUGGGACCAUCAGUGUUAAACUGGUUUUUAGAACAAGGCAAUGAUUUGGGGGUUUGCUCUGCCUUUGCUACGGGUUGGCUUAGUAUUGCAGUACUUCCAGGAUUUAGCCCAUCUCCC
rfam:Octopus bimaculoides Scaffold48_contig_23, whole genome shotgun sequence.